rnacentral:lncRNA from 10 species
UGACCUCAGGUGAUCCACCCACCUUGGCCUCCCAAAGUGCUAGGAUUACAGGCAUGAGCCACUGCGCCUGGCCCGAAAUUCUUAAUAAGUUAUUAACAAUGAGCUCACAUUUUCUAUCAGCACUGAGCUCUGCAAACUGUAACCGGUCUUGCCUAGUGGUUAUGGAAAUCAUAAGCGCUGGGGGCUCAGAUCCUCCUGCUUCCUACUCCCCCUCUCAUCCUCUCAUGCAUAUAUUCACCAAGCAGUCAUUAUCUGCAGGCUGAGUGAAUACUUCUAGUGUUUCUAUCUACUGCUAUUUUUCAGGGUUUAUGUCAUCACCUUUUUUUUUUUUUUUUUUGGAGACAGGGUCUUGCUCUGUCGCCCAGGCUGGAGUGCAGUGGUGUGAUCUCGGCUCACUGCAGCCUCCGCCCCCCGGGUUCAAGCAAUUCUCCUGCCUCAGCCUCCGGAGUAGCUGGGACUACAGACGCGUGCCACCACGCCCAGGUAAUGUUUGUAUUUUUAGUAGAAACGGGGUUUCACCAAGUUGGCCAGAAUGGUCUCGAUCUCUUGACCUUGUAAUCUGCCCACUUCAGCCUCCCAAAGUGCUAGGAUUACAGGCGUGAGCCAUGGCGCCCAGCCCUAUGUUAUCACUAACACAUUUAUUUGAAAGAGUUUCUUAAUUUUAUGUGACAUUUUAUUGCUGAGUAUAUUUUCUACCCAAGAAAGUCCUGGUUAAGUACCAGCCUGUCUCUAACACUUUUCUAACACUUGCUAAGUUCCCUUUGUAACUUAGAGGAGGCUACAGGCUGAGAACCUUCCCCAGGCAGAAAUAUCUGAUUAGAAUUGAACAGCUCCUCGUGGUACUUUUCACCUCCUGGGAGCCAGGAGCCCAGGCACACCUAAGCACUGUCACUUAGAUGCUACUACCCAGGAGAUGAAGAGGUGAUGAGAAGCUCUCCCGGGGAGAUCAUGGUUGCAGUAUCCCUGCUGGCCGUCACCUGCAGGGCUCCUCUCCAAGGCUCCUUCUCAGCUCCUACCCAUCUUCCCAACCUGCACCUUUGGGCACCCACUGAUUGCCAGAGCCCCCAUAGACUUCCAAUAGAUGCCAUUUCCAUUUGAGGAAGCAUGAGUGGGUUGCUGCUGCUUGUCACAUGGGAAAACUUUCUAAAAAGUGAAAAAAAUCAAAACUGCUUUUGCUGCAGGUUCUCCUUCCUUUCACCUGUCACCACUUGUCUAGUGAGAGGUGAAGCCAGCUGGGCUUCUGGGUCGGGUGGGGACUUGGAGAACUUUUGUGUCUAGCUAAAGGAUUGUAAACGCACCAAUCAGCACUCUGUAAAAUUGCACCAAUCAGCACUCUGUGUCUAACUAAAGGAAUGUAAACGCACCAGUCAGCGCUCUGUAAAAUGGACCAGUCAGCAGGAUGUGGGCGGGGCCAAAUGAGGGAAUAAAAGCUGGCCACCCGAGCCAGCACCGGCAAUCCAGUGGGGUCCCUUCCACGCUGUGGAAGGUUUGUUCUUUCACUCUUCACAAUAAAUCUUGCUGCUGCUCAGUCUUUGGGUCUGCACCACCUUUAUGAGCCGUAACACUCACUGCAAGGGUCUGCAGCUUCAUUCCUGAAGUCAGCAAGACCACGAACCCAGCGCGAGGAACAAACAACUACGGACACACCACCUUUAAGAGCUGUAACACUCACUGCGAAGGUCUGCGGCUUCACUCCUGAAGUCAGCGAGACCACGAACCCACCAGAAGGAAGAAACUCUGUACACAUCUGAACAUCUGAAGGAACAAAUUCCGGACACACCAUCUUUAGGAGCUGUAACACUCACCGUGCAGGUCCGUGGCUUCAUUCUUGAAGUCAGCAAGACCAAGAACUCACCGGAAGGAAUAAAUUCCGGACACAGUAGGUAGGAGUGCAUGGUGCUAGAUAACACAGCUUCCUGCCUCCAGGGGGCUCAGCCAAGCUCUGCCCUAGCCCCUGGCCACAUGGAGCAGGCAUUUGACUCAACGUUUGGCAUUUGACUCAACGUUUGGCAUUUGACUCAACGUUUGGCAUUUGACUCAACAGAGACAGGAUUUCACCAUUGUUGCGGGAAGUCAGGGACCCUGAACGGAGGGACCAGCUGGAGCCUCAGCAGAGGAAACAUAAAUUGUGAAGAUUUCAUGGACAUUUAUCACUUACCUAAUAAUACUCUUAUAAUUUCUUACUCUUGUCUUACUUUACUCUCUUAAUCCUAUUAUCUCCAUAAGCUGAGGAUGUAUAUCACCUCAGGACCCUGUGAUGAUUGCGUUAACUGAACAAAUUGAUUGUAAAACAUGUAUGUUUGAACAAUAUGAAAUCAGUGCACCUUGAAAAUGAACAGAAUAACAGCGAUUUUAGGGAAUAAGGGAAGACAACCAUAAGGUCUGACUGCCUGUGGGGUCGAGCAAAAAGAGCCAUAUUUUUCUUCUUGCAGAGAGCCUAUAAAUGGAUGUGCAAGUAGGAGAGAUAUUGCUAAAUUCUUUUCCUAGCAAAGAAUAUAAUAUUAAGACCCUAGGAAAAGAAUUGCAUUCCUGGGGGGAGGUCUAUAAAUGGCCACUCUGCAAAUGUCUGUCCUAUGCGGUUGAGAUAAGGACUGGGAUACACCCUGGUCUCCUGCAGUACCUUCAGGCUUACUAGGAUUGGGAAACCCCAGCCCUGGUAAAUUUGAGGGCAGACUGGUUCUCUGCUCUCGAACCCUGUUUAUCAAGACAAUACGUGCACAGCUGAACAUAGGCCCUUAUCAGGAGUUUUUGAUUUUGCACUUUGCCUUGUGAUCUUUGCUUUGCCCUUUGCCUUGUGAUCUUUAUUGACCUCAGAAGCAUGUGAUCUCUGUGACCUACUCCCAGUACGUACACCCCCUCCCUUUUUGAAAUCCUUAAAAAAACUCUGCUGGUUUUGCGGCUCAGGUGGGCAUCACAGACCUACUGAUAUGUGAUGUCACCCGUGGAGGCCCAGCUGUAAAAUUCUUCUUUUUGUACUCUUUCUCUUUAUUUCUCAGCCAGCCGACACUUAGGGAAAAUAGAAAGAAUCUACAUUGAAAUAUUGAGGGUGGGUUCCCCUGAUACACCAUGUUGGCCAGGCUGAUCUCAAACUCCUGACCUCAAGCAAUCCACCUGCCUCAGCCUCCCAAAGUGCUGGGAUUACAGGCGUGAGCCACCAUGCCAGGCCCUAAUUUUUGUAUUUUUAGUAGAGAUGGGGUUUCACCACGUCAGCCAGGCUUAUCUCGAACUCCUGACCUCAGGUGAUCGGCCUGCCUCUGCCUCCCAAAGUGCCGAGAUUACAGGCAUGAGCCACUGUGCCCGGCCUGAAAAUGUGUAUUCUGAUAGGUUCGUGUGACACAUAGUAAUCACAGGUAUGGUCCUCAAAGCCAGACUUCCUGAGUUCCAAGGCCUGGCUCUGCCAUUUCUUAGCUAUAUCACCUUGGGCGAGUCACUUAACUUUACUGUGCUCAGGUUUCUUGAUAUAUUAAAUGGAGCUAAUUAUAGGCCCUCCUCAAGGAGUUGUGCAAAUAAUAAAUGAAUUAUGUAAAAUGCAGAAAAAAUCCUGGCAUAUUGCAGGGGCUCAAUAAGUGUUAGCUAUUAUUAUGUUCACUUAUCUGCUCACCACAUUUGCUAGUGCAUGAAUAACAAUAAUGGCUAUAGUGAUAUCAUUACCUAUAUUAUAUUUUCUUUUUUAUUUUUCUUUUCUUUUUUUUUUUUUUGAGACAGAGUCUUGCUCUGUCACCAGGCUGGAGUGCAGAGGCAUGAUCUCAGCUCGCUGAAACCUCUGCCUCCCAGGUUCCAGCGAUUCUUCUGACUCAGCCUCCUGAGUAACUGGGACCACAGGCACACGCCAUCAUGCCCAGCUAAUUUUUUGUAUUUUAGUAGAGAUGGGGUUUCACCAUGUUGGCCAGGAUGGUCUCGAUCUCCUGACCUUGUGAUCCACCCACGUCGGCCUCCCAAAGUGCCGGGACUACAGGCAAGAGCCACCAUGCCCGGCCUACCUAUAUUAUAUUUUAAUAGCUAACAUAUAUUGGGAGCUUACUCUGUGUCAGGCACUAUACUAAAUAAAUUAUCUCCCCACAAUAACUGUAUUUGGUAAGUAUUAUGAUCGUUCCUAAUUUAUAUUGGGAAUUGAAACUUUGGAGAGUUGACGUGACUUGCUUUAGAUUAAAGGCUUAGCAUCAGUAGAGCUGGGAUAAAAUCCUGGUGGUUGGAUUUGAAAGUCCCCCUUCAUAACUGUUACAUUCUGCUUGCUCAAAGGCCCAAGCCUUGAAACUUUAAAACAGGAAGAUUCCUUGAAGAUGAGCUACAGGAAUUCACUGGUGCCUCCAUUUCACUGAUGCAGAAAGGCCCAGGGGUUUGAAUGACCCACCUGAGGUCAAAUAGAUGGGAUCAGAACUGGAAUUAAAGGAAAGAGGGACAGAAGAGAGGGAUCCAGAAGGGAGAGAGAAGGAUGAGACCAAGACUUCCAUAUUGGCCAUAAAGAGGAUCAGAAUAUGCCUCUCCAAAAUAUGCCACCCCAAAAUAUACCUCUCCAAAAUAUGCCACCCCAAAAUAUGCCUCUUUGGCAUGAAGAUUAUUUUGAGAUGAUGGCAGUUGAGAAACAGCAGACACAGGAAAAGCUCUCUACCACCCUCCUUUCUGUCUAAAAGCAGGGCAUACAUUUCCUAUUGUGAAGGUUUCUCCCUCCCCUCUCUAAUCCAGGAAGAGAAAACAACUUUUUUUUGGUUUUUUGAGACAGAGUCUCGCUCUGUCACCCAGGCUGGAGUGCAGUGGCAGGAUUUUGGCCCGCUGCAACCUCCGCCCUCCAGGUUCAAGCAAUUCUCCUGCCUCAGCCUCCUGAGUAGCUGGGAUUAUAGGCGAGUACCACCACGCCCAGCUAAUUUUUGUAUUUUCAGUUGAGACAGGGUUUUAUCAUGUUGGCCAUGCUGGUCUCAAACUCCUGACCUCAACUGAUCCGCCCACCUUGGCCUCCCAAAGAGCUGGGACUACAGGCGUGAGCCACCUCACCCGGACUUCUUUCCCCCAUAUAUUUACCUUCCCAGAAUUACCUUCCCUAGAAGGCCACACCCUUUUCCUUCGUCUUUUCACUUCUCUAUAAAUGUAACGCUCUUUGUUACUAUAUAAGCUCUCAGACCUAACUGCUUCUUUAGAGUUUUACUUCUUUUUCUAUGAGAUCCCUAUGUACAUGUAAAAAUUAAAAUAUUAACAUCAAAUAAAAUGAACAUGGCUUUUUUCUGUUAAUC